rnacentral:rRNA from 1 species
GAUGAACGCUGGCGGCGUGCCUAAUACAUGCAAGUCGAGCGAACAGACGAGGAGCUUGCUCCUCUGACGUUAGCGGCGGACGGGUGAGUAACACGUGGAUAACCUACCUAUAAGACUGGGAUAACUUCGGGAAACCGGAGCUAAUACCGGAUAAUAUAUUGAACCGCAUGGUUCAAUAGUGAAAGACGGUUUUGCUGUCACUUAUAGAUGGAUCCGCGCCGCAUUAGCUAGUUGGUAAGGUAACGGCUUACCAAGGCGACGAUGCGUAGCCGACCUGAGAGGGUGAUCGGCCACACUGGAACUGAGACACGGUCCAGACUCCUACGGGAGGCAGCAGUAGGGAAUCUUCCGCAAUGGGCGAAAGCCUGACGGAGCAACGCCGCGUGAGUGAUGAAGGUCUUCGGAUCGUAAAACUCUGUUAUUAGGGAAGAACAAAUGUGUAAGUAACUAUGCACGUCUUGACGGUACCUAAUCAGAAAGACACGGCUAACUACGUG